rnacentral:rRNA from 1 species
UACGUAGGGGGCAAGCGUUGUCCGGAAUCAUUGGGCGUAAAGCGCGUGUAGGCGGCCCGGUAAGUCCGCUGUAAAAGUCCAGGGCUCAACCCUGGAAAGCCGGUGGAUACUGUCGGGCUCGAGUCCGGAAGAGGCGAGUGGAAUUCCUGGUGUAGCGGUGGAAUGCGCAGAUAUCAGGAGGAACACCGAUGGCGAAGGCAGCUCGCUGGGACGGUACUGACGCUGAGACGCGAAAGCGUGGGGAGCAAACAGG